GUCCACGCCCUAAACGAUGUCAACUGGUUGUUGGGAGGGUUUCUUCUCAGUAACGAAGCUAACGCGUGAAGUUGACCGCCUGGGGAGUACGGCCGCAAGGUUAAAACUCAAAGGAAUUGACGGGACCCGCACAAGCGGUGGAUGAUGUGGAUUAAUUCGAUGCAACGCGAAAACCUUACCUACCCUUGACAUGCUAGGAACCCUGCUGAGAGGCGGGGUGCCCGAAAGGGAGCCUAGACACAGGUGCUGCAUGGCUGUCGU
rnacentral:rRNA from 1 species